rnacentral:lncRNA from 1 species
AUAUAUCGAAUUUUGAUAUAAAAAAAUAAAAAUAAAAAUAGUGUGAGAUACUAUUUUCAUUGGAUUUAGAGAAGUAAAAUAUAAGUCGGAAACGACUUGUGUUGAAAUCGGAAUGGAAACAGAAAGUCUAGAAUUUUCUGUUAGAAACGGGGCUGAUGUAUACCGGAUUUUAAUAUAAAAGCAAAAAUAAAUAAAAAUAGUGUGAGAUACUAUUUUUAUUGGAUUUAGAGAAAUAAAAUAUAAGUCAGGAAUGACUUGUGCUGAAAUCGGAAUGAAAACAGAAGAUUUAGAAUUUUCUGUGAGAAACGGAGCUGUUAUUUUAGUAGAAAAUAUACAGUGUCAGAAAAUUAUGAAAACUGGAGAAUAUGUCGAAAAUAUUUUUAUGAGGCUAGAUUUAAAGUUUCAUGUCAAUCCGACACCCGAAAAGUGAAAAAUAAAAUCUGACUGCUAUCUGCUAGAAAUUACAGUUCGGUAGAGCUUUCGGUGACCAAAUGUGGUCGAAACUGAAAUAUUAAAAUUUCUUUCGUUAAGUAAAACCGAGCCUGACUGCCAAAUUUGAGCUCAAACGAACAUUCAGAAGGGCAGGCAAAAAAUAUCUGUACCUGUGCUGAAAGUUGAAUAGUGUUGAGGGGCUUUGUAUAAAAGGGAUUUCUCCUCUUUCCUUCUCCUCCAUCAGCCCACGCACACAACACACGCACGCACACACCCUCUCCCUCUCCCUCACACUUGCAAAGAAGGAAGGAUCUCUCUCU